rnacentral:rRNA from 1 species
AUGAUGGAAAGAAACCUCAAGGUUGGCACGUCCUCCUCUGCUCUUUUGGAGGAUGGUGGUAAGAUUGUCGAGAAGGUAUUGCCUCUCAUGGGCUCGGGCUCUGGUAUAAGGCCGGGCAUUGCCCCGAACAUCAAAUUCGGAGGGUCCGGAUCAUACCCUGAUCUUCCCUGGGUAUCCACAACCGGGACUGGACCAAAUGGCAGGACCAUAUUGGGCGUAACAUACAACUUCGGCAGAAACAAAGUGAAGAUCAUGUGUGCUUGCCAUGGCACACACAUAACGCCUGAGGAGUUCACGCGACACGCUAGCGUGGAUGCCACGGGCCAGGAGAACAACGCUACAAUGUCGGUGUUUCCUGUCGGGAAUCAAGCAGCCUCAGCCCAAAACUAA